rnacentral:sRNA from 1 species
GGCUUGAUUAGUGGAUAAUUAGAGUCUAAUUACCUGGUUAACUCACAAGGACACAACAGAAAACAAGUGAGAAAACAAGUUCAACACAAGACAAAAGAAUUCAAACACAACUAGACAACGCUAACAGUGACUAUCAAGUACACAACACAACCACACUUGCAAUAGAAAGCAAUUCAAACACAACACUACACAAAGUAUAAUGAAUAAGCGGUCAAGAUUUCAGACAACACAAUAAGUUGUCAAUAAGAUUUCAGACAACACAAUAAGAUUUCAGACACAACUAGACAACGCUAACAGUGAUUAUCAAGUACACAACACAACCACACUUGCAAUAGAA